GUGCUCGCUUUGGCAGCACAUAUACUAAAAUUGGAAUGAUACAGAGAAGAUUAGCAUGGCCCCUGCACAAAGAUUUAACCUUCCUGCAGCAAACCCAAUGCAGAAGUCU